rnacentral:rRNA from 1 species
CCUACGGGUGGCAGCAGUAGGGAAUAUUGCUCAAUGGGGGAAACCCUGAUGCAGCAACGCCGCGUGGAGGAUGAAGGUUUUCGGAUUGUAAACUCCUUUUGUUAGAGAAGAUAAUUACGGUAUCUAACGAAUAAGCACCGGCUAACUCCGUGCCAGCAGCCGCGGUAAGACGGAUGGUGCAAGCGUUACUCGGAAGCACUGGGCGUAAAGAGCGCGUAGGCGGGAUAGCAAGUCAGAUGUGAAAGCCUAGGGCUUAACCAUAGAACUGCAUUUGAAACUGUUAGUCUAGAGUAUGGGAGAGGUAGGUGGAAUUCUUGGUGUAGGGGUGAAAUGCGUAGAGAUCAAGAGGAAUACUCGUUGCGAAGGCGAGCUGCUAGAACAUAACUGACGCUGAGGCGCGAAAGCGUGGGGAGCGAACAGGAUUAGAUACCCGGGUAGUC